CCUGUAAGAUGUGGGAAAUGCAAAAAGGAAGGGCAUAACUCAAGAGGGUGCAAGGCUGGCAUCACUGGGGAGACACCAUGGCAGAGGAGACAGAGACUUCAAAGAGAAAAAGCUGCAAGGGAAGGGGUGCCUGCACCUAGAUCUGCACCUCAGCCUGCACCUCAGCCACCAUCCCAGCAGCCUACACAGACCUACAACAUGAUGUCUGCCACUCAGCCUUCAUCCUCACAGUAAGGAAAUCAACCUAGGCCAUCUCACAAGAGAGCAGGAUGGUUCUCUUCCUCACAACUAGAGUUUCACACACCUAGGGAGACCUGGGAUACCUUACCAAGUUCUUCACAGCCUUCACAUGCAAGUGGGAGCACUGGUGGUGUGAGGACUAGAGGACAGCUUGCUGCACAAAGGCCACCAAAAAUGAAUCCAGUGGGUGGAAAGAGGAAAGAGUAAAGGCAAGAAAUGAAUGAAGCUAGUGGGUACGCAUGCCAGCAUUGGGAGUAAAGCUAGUGGAAACAUGUGGGCCUUUUUGGUUUUUUUUUUUUUUUGUGAAGACCACUGUUGGCCUUUUGUAAUUAUCAAUUAGUGUAAAAAACAGUCACUGCUGGCCUUGGAAUGUGCUUUUUUGUAAUUACUAAUUAGUGUAAAAAACAAUCACUGCUGGCCUUGGAAUGUGCUUUUUUGUAAUUAAGGUACAAUAUGGAAGUUGUGAUAUUACAGUUUGUAUGGAACAAUAUUUGUCCAAACUAGAUUAUA